GUACACUCCUACGGGAGGCAGCAGUGGGGAAUAUUGGACAAUGGGCGCAAGCCUGAUCCAGCCAUGCCGCGUGAGUGAUGAAGGCCCUAGGGUUGUAAAGCUCUUUCACCGGUGAAGAUAAUGACGGUAACCGGAGAAGAAGCCCCGGCUAACUUCGUGCCAGCAGCCGCGGUAAUACGAAGGGGGCUAGCGUUGUUCGGAUUUACUGGGCGUAAAGCGCACGUAGGCGGACUAUUAAGUCAGGGGUGAAAUCCCGGGGCUCAACCCCGGAACUGCCUUUGAUACUGGUAGUCUUGAGUUGGAGAGAGGUGAGUGGAAUUCCGAGUGUAGAGGUGAAAUUCGUAGAUAUUCGGAGGAACACCAGUGGCGAAGGCGGCUCACUGGCUCGAUACUGACGCUGAGGUGCGAAAGCGUGGGGAGCAAACAGGAUUAGAAACCCUGGUAGUCCC
rnacentral:rRNA from 1 species